GUGGUUUGUCGCGUUGUUCGUGAAAUCUCACGGCUUAACUGUGAGCGUGCGGGCGAUACGGGCAGACUAGAGUACUGCAGGGGAGACUGGAAUUCCUGGUGUAGCGGUGGAAUGCGCAGAUAUCAGGAGGAACACCGGUGGCGAAGGCGGGUCUCUGGGCAGUAACUGACGCUGAGGAGCGAAAGCGUGGGGAGCGAACAGGAUUAGAUACCCUGGUAGUCCACGCCGUAAACGGUGGGUACUAGGUGUGGGUUUCCUUCCUUGGGAUCCGUGCCGUAGCUAACGCAUUAAGUACCCCGCCUGGGGAGUACGGCCGCAAGGCUAAAACUCAAAGGAAUUGACGGGGGCCCGCACAAGCGGCGGAGCAUGUGGAUUAAUUCGAUGCAACGCGAAGAACCUUACCUGGGUUUGACAUGCACAGGACGCGUCUAGAGAUAGGCGUUCCCUUGUGGCCUGUGUGCAGGUGGUGCAUGGCUGUCGUCAGCUCGUGUCGUGAGGUGUUGGGUUAAGUCCCGCAACGAGCGCAACCCUUGUCUCAUGUUGCCAGCGGGUAAUGCCGGGGACUCGUGAGAGACUGCCGGGGUCAACUCGGAGGAAGGUGGGGAUGACGUCAAGUCAUCAUGCCCCUUAUGUCCAGGGCUUCACACAUGCUACAAUGGCCGGUACAAAGGGCUGCGAUGCCGUAAGGUUAAGCGAAUCCUUUUAAAGCCGGUCUCAGUUCGGAUUGGGGUCUGCAACUCGACCCCAUGAAGUCGGAGUCGCUAG
rnacentral:rRNA from 1 species